rnacentral:rRNA from 1 species
UACGUAGGGGUGCGAGCGUUAAUCGGAAUUACUGGGCGUAAAGCGUGCGUAGGCGGUUCGUUAAGUCUGUUGUGAAAGCCCCGGGCUCAACCUGGGAAUGGCAAUGGAUACUGGCGAGCUAGAGUGUGUCAGAGGAUGGUGGAAUUCCCGGUGUAGCGGUGAAAUGCGUAGAGAUCGGGAGGAACAUCAGUGGCGAAGGCGGCCAUCUGGGACAACACUGACGCUGAGGCACGAAAGCGUGGGGAG